UGGGGAAUAUUGCACAAUGGGCGAAAGCCUGAUGCAGCAACGCCGCGUGAGCGAAGAAGGUCUUCGGAUCGUAAAGCUCUGUCCUUGGGGAAGAUAAUGACGGUACCCUUGGAGGAAGCCCCGGCUAACUACGUGCCAGCAGCCGCGGUAAUACGUAGGGGGCAAGCGUUAUCCGGAUUUACUGGGUGUAAAGGGAGCGUAGACGGCCGUGCAAGUCUGAUGUGAAAGGCUGGGGCUCAACCCCGGGACUGCAUUGGAAACUGUAUGGCUGGAGUGCCGGAGAGGUAAGCGGAAUUCCUAGUGUAGCGGUGAAAUGCGUAGAUAUUAGGAGGAACACCAGUGGCGAAGGCGGCUUACUGGACGGUAACUGACGUUGAGGCUCGAAAGCGUGGGGAGCAAACAGGAUUAGAUACCCUGGUAGU
rnacentral:rRNA from 1 species